AGUCGUAACAAGGUUUCCGUAGGUGAACCUGCGGAAGGAUCAUUACUGAUUUGCUUAAUUGCACCACAUGUGUUUUUCUUUGAAACAAACUUGCUUUGGCGGUGGGCCCAGCCUGCCGCCAGAGGUCUAAACUUACAACCAAUUUUUUAUCAACUUGUCACACCAGAUUAUUACUAAUAGUCAAAACUUUCAACAACGGAUCUCUUGGUUCUCGCAUCGAUGAAGAACGCAGCGAAAUGCGAUACGUAAUAUGAAUUGCAGAUAUUCGUGAAUCAUCGAAUCUUUGAACGCACAUUGCGCCCUCUGGUAUUCCGGAGGGCAUGCCUGUUUGAGCGUCGUUUCUCCCUCAAACCGCUGGGUUUGGUGUUGAGCAAUACGACUUGGGUUUGCUUGAAAGACGGUAGUGGUAAGGCGGGAUCGCUUUGACAAUGGCUUAGGUCUAACCAAAAACAUUGCUUGCGGCGGUAACGUCCACCACGUAUAUCUUCAAACUUUGACCUCAAAUCAGGUAGGACUACCCGCUGAACUUAAGCAUAUCAAUAAGCGGAGGAA
rnacentral:misc_RNA from 1 species